CACGCGUGCGAAGGGGCUGCGCGCCGGGCAGGGGCCCCUCAGCCUGCCUGGCUCGUGGGGCCCGGGCUGCGCGCGCUGUGCCGGGAGGGGCCCCGCCCUCCCCUGCCCGCGCUCCAGCGGCCCCGGGGGGAACAGGAGCGGAGCCGCGGCGCGGCCGGGCCACGGAAAUGCGCGGCGCGUGUGCUCAGCCCGCCUAAGCCGGGCCGCCCCUGGGCUUAGCGCUCAUCCAGCCCGUGCGGGGGACCGGGGAACCCCCGCCCCCGCCUUGCGGUGCCCGCGUAGCCGACAAGUGUAGGGGUGGCUCUCAUUUAGGCAAAGGACAAGCAAUCCUGUACAACACUCUCACACGUGUGUAGAGUCACCGCUCAGACAAGGAUGAAACCUGAAAAAUACAGACAAAUCCUAAUGAAAUACAGAACCAGUGAGCACACAGACGUGGGUGACAAAGUAUAGUAGCGUUCUAGAGAAGAAUCGCAGGGCCGGGGGGAACCUUGGCAAAAUAAUUUAGUCCAGUCGCCUGUGCUGAGGCAGGAACAAGUAACUCUAGACCAGCUCUGACAGAAGGCAGCAACAUGCUUCUUUUAUACACCCAGCUGUUUAUACAUCAGCAUUUUCAGCAACAAUCUGCACAACAUUCUGCACAGUCAGGAAGGAAGGAGUCCCUGAAGAAAGUGAGUCUUCUUUGUUUUCCUGCCACAGAUUGGGCUGUACUACAUGUUAUCACAUCUGUGAUCCACUAUAUGUACAGUGUUUGGAUUCCCUUUUUAGCUCAAUAAAACAUACCCAAAUAGCUAUUGGAGGAUGGCAAAACCAUGGGUAAGGUCAAGAUCAGUCUUACAAAAUUGUUAAGAAAACUGAAGUCCCCGGACACAAAGUUUACCCAUUACAUUCAAGAUGAAAAGCUCAGGAUAUUUUUCUUGUUUGUCAAAAAACAGUUAUUUGCUCCACGCAAGUGGACAAGUAGAAUUUUGCAGGGUUAGUAAAUGGGAGUUAAUUCUUGCCAUGGAGAAAGCAUAACCCUGACUUUGUGUAGAUAUUGCAGAAAUACUGAUAAUUUGGUUAUGAAUACCUUUCACCCUAGUGAUAGAUGUUCUUUAAAAAACAUACGUACACUUUUUAAAAGCUGGAACCUGUCCAUCAUUCCUCAUAAUACAGCACGACAUGCCUUAAUGAACCAGAUGCGCUGUAAAAACUUUAUACUGCAGAGUCUUUAUUUGCUGCAGAUGUGGUUGAUUCAAGCUUCCUCCAAAGCAGGAUUGUACAGAGUACCUAUCUUAAUGACAGUGGCAAGCUGGAUGACUGACUUUGUGCACUGGAGAGGAUUAUGCUCCUGUAUCUUUAAGAGAUACCACACAUGCUGGUGCUGAAUUCUGGUAGUCUAUUUGAUCUUAGCAGCUGUUCCUAAAGGAUGUUAUUCGGAAGAGAGCUCCCCAAGCGCUUUGCUGUGGAUCGUGUUUUUUUUUUUUCUUUUAAAUAGACUGUGAGGAAGGGAGCAGAAGUCUUUUGGGGAAGCUCUUGGGCAGGAAAUAUAUAGAGAUAAAAUAUAAUUAUUCCAUGGAAAAAUAUGUAUACAUACACUGUAUUAAUUUAUAAAGGAUCAAAUCAGUUUGACAGUCUUCACGAAACCCCAUUGAGAACAAUUAAAAUAUACUUCUGAGCCUCUUGUCAUUAAGAAAUGGGAUGAUAUAUUUAGGAAUUUGUGGGGGGAAGGGAUUGUCUCCUUGGAAACUUCUGUUGUCAUUGGAUACAUUGGAGGAACACAUCAGAUACUUCUUGUCCUUUAGCAAGUAAACAUAUACAUUUCCCAUAAUGCAUACUAACUCUGAAUUUAAUCUAUGUAUGAUGAACAAAAUCAUCAACAGUUUAAUUCUCUGUACUUGUAUCUAAUGGCAAGAAUUAUUUGGAGACUUAGUUUUAUUUAUAAUUCAGCAGUACAUCAAAAAGUUCUUGGGUUAAUUCAUUAUGAUUUCUCCAUUACCUUGUGACUUCCUUGGUAAAGUUAAAUCAGAAUUAAAAUAAAUCAAAGUUAUUAGAAAGGUUGAUACAAAUGAUGAUUAAAGUCAUUCAAAGUUUUGUUGUUGUUUUGGGGGGGUUUCCCCUCUAUUUUCAUUGACAUCCUGGAGUAAGAAAGAGGGUUAAGAAAUCUAACAAUAAAUAUUAAAAACUGAGGAAAACUGUUGAUCUUUUGGGAAAUGAGGAGGAAGCAGAACAUCUUGAAAAAAAACUUACGUUAAAAUAGUAUUAAACUGUUAUAUAGAUAAGGGGAUCAAGACUCCUCUUGUUCUUACACAUUUACAUUCAAGAAAUGCUCACUUUCAAGAUGAAUAAAUUUUGUUUAGUUUUAUCCUUCUCCCUUAUAAAUUAGUAGGGCUGAUGAAUGACAUGUUGACUGGCAGAACAAGCUCAUUAAAAUGUCUGAUCAUGUCAUGCAAAAGGCCACAGUGGUUCUCAAACUUAUUUGAUCAUGCCCCUCCCUUCUUUGUGUCUGUAGUAAUUUAGCUAUAGUACUCCCUCUCCCUCCCCCCCCCAGCACAU